GCCGGUUUAACUCAGUUGGUAGAGUAACUCAUUCGUAAUGAGUAAGCCGUAGGUUCGACUCCUAUAACCGGCACCA
rnacentral:tRNA from 1 species